rnacentral:lncRNA from 1 species
GACGGAGUUUCUCCAUGUUAGCCAGGCUGGUCUCUGUAUUACAAAAUCUUCUACUCCACACCCCUAGUUUUCCCCACCAGAGACAACCCCCUUACCUGUUUUCAUUGUCUCCUUUAGAAGAUAAUCUAAAAAUUUACCAAGUUCACAAGUCUUUUUCUUUUUCUUUCUUUUUUUCUUUUUUGAGACAAGGCCUCAUUCUGUCAGGCUGGAGUGCAGUGGCUGUGUUUUUACAUUUGUAGGAAGAUAUGGUUCACACUGUG